rnacentral:rRNA from 1 species
GACGAACGCUGGCGGCGUGCUUAACACAUGCAAGUCGAACGGAAAGGCCCAGCUUGCUGUGUACUCGAGUGGCGAACGGGUGAGUAACACGUGGGUGAUCUGCCCUGCACCCUGGGAUAAUCCUGGGAAACUGGGUCUAAUACCGGAUAUGACCGACUGUCGCGUGGUGGUUGGUGGAACGCUUUUGCGGUGUGGGAUGGGCCCGCGGCUUAUCAGCUUGUUGGUGGGGUAAUGGUCUACCAAGGCUACGACGGGUAGCCGACCUGAGAGGGUGAUCGGCCACACUGGGACUGAGACACGGCCCAGACUCCUCCGGGAGGCAGCAGUGGGGAAUAUUGCACAAUGGGCGCAAGCCUGAUGCAGCGACGCCGCGUGAGGGAUGACGGCCUUCGGGUUUUAAACCUCUUUCGCCAGGGACGAAGCGUGAGUGACGGUACCUGGAGAAGAAGCACCGGCCAACUACGUG